GACGAACGCUGGCGGCGUGCCUAACACAUGCAAGUCGAACGGGGGUAUUUAUUUCGAUGAAUACCUUAGUGGCGAACGGGUGAGUAACGCGUGAGCAACCUAUCCUUAAGAGGGGGAUAACAUCUGGAAACAGAUGCUAAUACCGCAUAAGACCACACUGCCGCAUGGCAGAGGGGUCAAAGGAGCAAUCCGUUUAAGGAGGGGCUCGCGUCCCAUUAGAUAGUUGGUGAGGUAACAGCUCACCAAGUCAGCGAUGGGUAGCCGAGCUGAGAGGCUGAUCGGCCACACUGGAACUGAGACACGGUCCAGACUCCUACGGGAGGCAGCAGUGGGGAAUAUUGGGCAAUGGGGGGAACCCUGACCCAGCAACGCCGCGUGAGGGAAGAAGGCCUUCGGUUGUAACCGUCUGUCAUUAGGGAAGAAGAAAGUAGACGGUACCGUAAUAGAGGAAGCCCGGCUAACUACGUGCCAGCAGCCGCGGUAAACGUAGACGUG
rnacentral:rRNA from 1 species